AGGACCAACUUGGAUGGCUGUGCUCUGCAAUGCCUGUGACAGAUGUGUCACCUCUGGGCUUGCUCUCUCCAAAUGGUCCAUUUCUGUCUCAAAACACGGUGGCCAAAAGCAGAGCACCAGACUUAUGAUGAAAAUCAGCAUUUAAGCAGAGUGUUCAGUGGCACCACUCUGAAGUGUGCUGGAGCUGCCUGAUUUGGAGGGAAGAGAAGAGAGAUGGGAAAGGAUGGGUGCAUCUGAUCGAGAAAGGCUUUCUUCCAAACCUUUGUGCCAGGGAGAAGCCAUAAAGAUGGGGUUAACAGCUGACAUCGUGGAUGGGCCAUCCAAGUUGCCAACGGAGAUGCGAAAGCACCACAGAAAGCUCUGAGAUUGAUUUCUUCAGCAGCUUUUGCAGAGAGGCCAGAGGCAGUGUGCCAAGAUCUCCCAGGAUGGCUCCUGUCUGGGGCAUUGCAGCGGAUUCCUGCUCAUGAAACCCUUGUUGUAACCCACUGG